CAAAAUGUAGCUUAACCCAAAGCAUUCAGCUUACACCUGAAAGAUGUUUAUCACAAAAUCAUUUUGA
rnacentral:tRNA from 1 species